rnacentral:lncRNA from 1 species
CUGGAGUUGAAGAUGCAUGUGCAGAUCAGGAGUACAGCCAGAAAAAGGAGGUUGUGGAAGCUGCUCUUUCUGUUAACAUGGGGAAACCCAUGCAGGGUUGUCCAGAAUCCCUUCACCUUCACUUCUGCCUCUUGUUCUCAGGGACGUCACAUCUUUGUAUGAGGAGUGCCACAUUGUCAGCAGAGGAGCAAAGGCUGUUCAGCAGAGGGUCAAGGCCAGAAUCUGACAGAAAUACAAGAGAGGAACUUUGGUGUAGCCAGAUCUGAGCCUCCCCGCCACAGCCGUUUGUACCCUCUUAGGGAAGUUGACACUUGUUCUGACCUAUUACGUCAGGCCAGCAAAGGACUGGGGUCCAGGUCCUGUCCAG